rnacentral:rRNA from 1 species
UAGGGAAUAUUGGUCAAUGGGCGAAAGCCUGAACCAGCAACGCCGCGUGUGCGAUGAAGGCCUUCGGGUCGUAAAGCACUUUUCUGGGAGAUGAGAAAGGACAGUAUCCCAGGAAUAAGUCUCGGCUAACUACGUGCCAGCAGCCGCGGUAAAACGUAGGAGGCGAGCGUUAUCCGGAUUCACUGGGCGUAAAGCGCGUGCAGGUGGCUUGGUAAGUUAGGCGUGAAAUCUCCCGGCUCAACUGGGAGAGGUCGUCUAAUACUACCGGGCUUGAGAGCAGAAGAGGAAGAUGGAAUUCCCGGUGUAGUGGUGAAAUGCGUAGAUAUCGGGAGGAACACCAGUGGCGAAGGCGAUCUUCUGGUCUGUUUCUGACACUCAGACGCGACAGCUAGGGUAGUAAACGGGAUUAGAGACCCCCGGUAAUCCCUAGCCGUAAACGAUGUAAACUUGGCGUUGGUGGGUUAAACUCCAUCAGUGCCGCAGCAAACGCGAUAAGUUACCG